CCGAUAUGGAGGCGGGGAACCCAAAACACCAAGAGCAGUGGGUGCUUAGGAAGCCACAGAGCUGGGAGUAGAGCCCCAGCAGCCUGAUCCAGAGCCCCUGUUCUUCACCACCACCCUGCCCUCCUCCAGGGAGCACAAUGGGGGUCCCGGAGCCUCUUUCCAUCUGUUGGAUCUCGGUGAGAGGGUCUCACUCUGUCACCCAGGCUGGAGCUCUGUGGCACGAUUGCACUGCAGCCUCAGAUUCCCAGGCUCAAGCAAUCCUCCUGCCUCAGCCUCCCAAGUAGCUGGGACUACAGAUCAAAAUAUAUUGAACUUUUUUUGUAAAGAUGAUAACAGCCAAGAAAACAAAAAUUGAAGUGAACACGAUGAUGAAGAGAGUAAAGAAAGAUAAAGACAAGGCUGAAGGUGGCAUUCAUAAAAGUCCCAGCGCUGAAGGGAGAGGCUGUGCUUGAAGAAGAAAAAGUCUGCUAGCCACGGUAAGACAAAUUAAGACGGGUUGGUGAGGAUACUCUGAGGCAAAGAAAAUUCAACGUUAUCAAAAACCCAUGCUCAAGUUAGGAGAGACUGCAGUAAAGAGAAACUUCCCUCUUGCUUCCAUGGUUAAAGGGUGACUUAGAG
rnacentral:lncRNA from 1 species